UCUUCCCUGCAGGGCCUGGAGAGUGACUGGCAGGGCCAGAACGAGAAGGACCAGGAGCUGCUGACGAGCAUCCAGGUCAGAGCUGUCAAGCUGGAGAGGAUCGGUGAGGCCCUCACCUCGGUCACCAGGAGCCUCAUGGACAAGCUUCAGCAGACGGACGAAGAUCUCAAGGCUCUGUCCCUGUGCAUGGAGAGGCUGCAGGAGAAAGCGGACAAGGUGGACUG